GAGACGACACGGCUGUGGCACACUGCAUGGCCCCAGAGUCACUGAGGCCGGGGACCUCAGGACUUCCUGGGAACCCACCUCUGAUGAGCUAAGGGACACCAGCCACAGGGGGGCGCCAUGCCUCAGAACUUGCUGAAAAGCCACCCGAGGAGGUGCCUGGGGCAGCUGUGCAUGUGUGUAUAUGAAUCUUGUUCUUUGCCUGCCCAGUGGUCAUCCAGGCUCCAGCACGUCUGCUCCACUGUGAUAGAGGCGGAAGGAGCAGGUCGGAACAAACCCCAUGGCCCCAGCAGAUGGCCCGGCAUGAGCAGCUACUUUUUCGACCAGGA
rnacentral:lncRNA from 1 species